CUGACUGCUAUCGGAUUGAUACUAAGCCAUGCGAGUCAUUGUAGUAAUACAAGGCAGACGGCUCAGUAACGCGUAGUCAACCUAACCUAUGGACGGGAAUAACCUCGGGAAACUGAGUAUAAUGCCCGAUAGAACAUUAUGCCUGGAAUGGUUUAUGUUCCAAAUGAUUUAUCGCCGUAGGAUGGGACUGCGGCCUAUCAGUUUGUUGGUGAGGUAAUGGCCCACCAAGACUAUUACAGGUACGGGCUCUGAGAGGAGUAGCCCGGAGAUGGGUACUGAGACACGGACCCAGGCCCUAUGGGGCGCAGCAGGCGAGAAAACUUUGCAAUGUGCGAAAGCACGACAAGGUUAAUCCGAGUGGUUUCUGCUAAAGGAACCUUUUGUCGGUCCUAGAAACACCGAUGAAUAAGGGGUGGGCAAGUUCUGGUGUCAGCCGCCGCGGUAAAACCAGCACCUCAAGUGGUCAGGAUGAUUAUUGGGCCUAAAGCAUCCGUAGCCGGCUCUAUAAGUUUUCGGUUAAAUCUGUACGCUCAACGUACAGGCUGCCGGGAAUACUGUAGAGCUAGGGAGUGGGAGAGGUAGACGGUACUCGGUAGGAAGGGGUAAAAUCCUUUGAUCUAUUGAUGACCACCUGUGGCGAACGCGGGUCUACCAGACCACGUCCGACGGUUCAAGGAAUGAAAGCUGGGGGAGCCAAACCCGGGAUUAGAUACCCCGGGUA
rnacentral:rRNA from 1 species